AAUGAACGUUGGCGGCGUGGAUUAGGCAUGCAAGUCGAGCGAGAAGAGUUUGGUAGCUUGCUAUUGAACUCGGACAGCGGCGAAAGGGAGAGUAACGCGUAGUUAUGUACCCAGGGGUUCGGAAUAGCCACGGGAAACUGUGGGUAAUGCCGAAUAACAUCUCCGGAUCAAAGGUGUGAUUCCGCCCUUGGAGCAGACUGCGUCCUACUAGCUAGUUGGCGGGGUAAUGGCCCACCAAGGCAACAAUGGGUAGCGGGUGUGAGAGCAUGACCCGUCUCACUGGGACUGAGACACUGCCCAGACACCUACGGGUGGCAG
rnacentral:rRNA from 1 species